rnacentral:lncRNA from 1 species
CUUUUUUUAAAAAACAGAAAAGUUUUUGUUUUGGUUUUGCAUUCAAAGAGUUAAAGCUUUAAGGAAUUGAGGCAUAGACUUCAUGCUAUAAAGAGAAGAUUGGAAGCAAGGGUUCUUAACCUCGUGUUUGUAAACAGAACAAAAUUUCAAUGUAAUUUGUUUCCCGUUAUAUUCCUAUGUAUAUGAUUUUAUGCAUCUAAAACAUUUUUCUGAAAAGAAACUCACAGGACUCAUCAGGCCACCAAAGGGGCCCGUGACACAAACACGGUUAACUGUCCCAGGUUGGUGACGGGCAGAUGGCAUCCCCUUCAAAACUAGCAAGAGGUCACUGGGGCUGCAGGAGGCAUCAGUCCAGCAUAUAGGCAGCAUGGAGUCCUGGCACGUCAGAGGGUUGUGACUGCAUCUGAAUCUCCCCCUGCCUCAAGGAGACACAGGGUGGCUGAGACAGACUGAGCCGGCAGUUGCAGAGGACAGCUCCACGUGGGGCAGCAGGAGGCCAGAGCACAAGGCGUGAGGGACUGUUCGUCUGAGGCCUAGGAGAGGAUGCUGUUCCAGCUCAGCUGAUGCCACCACGAAGGCAUUUCUGCAAAGGUGUGGAAGGAUCCACAUGGUGGCUUCUGGACAAAGCACAGCAAUUGGAUCCUCAAUUAUGUGGCCCUUGGACAUCGCGACUUCAGCAAGCAUCCUUCCUUCUCUGCAAACACAGCUUUGAAGCUGAAACCAGUUGG